UGCGUAAGUAAGUGACACUCGCAGAUGGGAUCUCUCAGCAGCUGACGCUUCAGAUAAAACCUGAUUGGCUCGCUGCUGCUUAAGCGACAAGCGCGAUGAGACACGGACGCUACAACAGUCACAGACCCGCCAGAUUAUCAACCUCUGUUUAGCGAAAACUUUUCAUAGGAUGGUUCGGCAUGUGAAGUUCUUGACAAUAUCUAAAAGACGCGGAUUACUGACAGCACUGUCAGCAUUUGGCAACUUUGCAGUUUCCUCCAAAUAGGAUGAAGACUCUUGGCCAUGCAAACAGAUGUUUCUUUUCCCAUCUGGAACAGAAGCGCAGUAGCAAGUCACACUUUUAACACCAUAAGGAAUCAUACAGAUGCCUAGUUUCCCUCUGGAUCUGGAUACAACACAAGGCAGUAAGCCUUUGCAGUAACAAGCUUUCUGAAGGACAAGAGUUGUGGCUCUUUCAAGAAUCAUAAAAAGGGCAUCAAAAAUUCAAGUUGAGAUGAACUGUGAUUCUUGGAAAAUACUCCCCAUGUGUCUUCCCAACUCUUGAACAUCGUAUCCCUAAGGUCAGGUGAC